UUGUUAAAAUGGGUUGCUACCCUUCUGGGACCCAAGAAUUAAUUCUAAUAAACUUCUAGGUGCUUCCAUUGCUGCUGUUGCUGGCAGUGUGGGGACCAGAGUCUGAGAUCUUUUGACACAUACUGUGCACUGUCUGUGCCUGCUUGAAGUCUAUAUUGCACGUGAUAGUCAGUUGAACAUUAACGGAAGCCUGAAUGCCAGAUGUUAAUGAAUACUUGAUGUUAGAGUAUUUUGGUAUAUUCAAAAUACUGGGAUGCAACUCCACCCUGUCGCAGUGCGAGCAAACAAAUACAUAAUUUAUUUAACAAAUCUCCUCAGUGCUGAUUUGGAAUCAGGCAUUGAGAACCAGGAGGUACAAAACAGACAGAAAUGCUGGACUUUAAAGAUCUUAAAUGUGAGUGGGAAGUAUCCUUCCAAACUUCGGCUAAGUCCUUUUAUAUCAAAGAGCUCAGGUUCUCACAAGAACAAUGUAACUGUCCUAUCUCCAAGAUGAGACCAUGGAGAUUCAAGUAGUCCAGUGACUUUUACCGCACUCGAUGCCUGUAUCCCCAAAGCCCACAUGCUUUCCCAAGCGUCGCAGAGAAAUAUUUAUGGUUAAGUCUAGAAAAGGGACUUUUCAUUGAAGUAUCCUGCAUUCUAUUUGUUAAGAAUUUCUUUUCCGUAGCUAUACCUGGAGAGAUCUCUAAGGGACCUUUCGUUGGAAGGUCCCAAGAGCUGAGAUGGGUGGAUCCUGAACUGCAAGAAGACAAAGUCAAAA
rnacentral:lncRNA from 1 species